GUCCUGAGUUUUCUCAUGCUGUGCUAUAAUUCAGCUAUUGUGUAUAUGCCUGCAUCAUCUUACCAAUCUCUUUGUCGAAUGGGUUCAAGGGUUUGUGUGAGUGGGUUUCCACGACAACAUGAGAAACAGUGGAAGGAACUUUGUGGUCGAAUCGUAUUAGAUCCUGAAUUUAUGGUGCAACUUCUCACAGGAGUUUACUAUGCUAUGUAUAAUGGACAGUGGGACCUUGGCCAGGAAGUACUUGAUGACAUCAUUUAUAGAGCUCAGCUAGAACUCUUUUCUCAGCCACUCUUGGUAAGUGUUUGUUUGUUUUAAUAUAUGUUAAAGCAUAUAGUGGUCAAAAUGUUACCAUGGGGUAAAGGGCAGGUGGGCAUUGAUGCAAAUUGAAAAUAAAAUGUUUU
rnacentral:lncRNA from 1 species